AGCGAACGCUGGCGGCAGGCCUAACACAUGCAAGUCGAACGAACUCUUCGGAGUUAGUGGCGGACGGGUGAGUAACACGUGGGAACGUGCCUUUUGGUUCGGAAUAACUCAGGGAAACUUGUGCUAAUACCGAAUGUGCCCUUCGGGGGAAAGAUUUAUCGCCAUUAGAGCGGCCCGCGUCUGAUUAGCUAGUUGGUGAUGUAACGGCUCACCAAGGAGACGAUCAGUAGCUGGUCUGAGAGGAUGACCAGCCACACUGGGACUGAGACACGGACCAGACUCCUACGGGAGGCAGCAGUGGGGAAUCUUGCGCAAUGGGCGAAAGCCUGACGCAGCCAUGCCGCGUGAAUGAUGAAGAUCUUAGGAUUGUAAAAUUCUUUCACCGGGGACGAUAAUGACGGUACCCGGAGAAGAAGCCCCGGCUAACUUCGUG
rnacentral:rRNA from 1 species